CCCUUAGACGUUCUGGGCCGCACGCGCGCUACACUGACCAGUGCAACAAGCAUCCGUCCUUGGCCGACAGGCCCGGGCAAUCUUUGAACGCUGGUCGUGAUGGGGAUAGACUUUUGCAAUUUUUGGUCUUCAACGAGGAAUUCCUAGUAAACGCAAGUCAUCAACUUGCAUUGAUUACGUCCCUGCCCUUUGUACACACCGCCCGUCGCACCUACCGAUUGAAUGGUCCGGUGAAGCCUCCGGAUUGGCGCGCACCUCGGUGCCGCCGAGAAGUUGGCUAAACCUUACCAUUUAGAGGAAGUUGAAGUCGUAACA
rnacentral:rRNA from 1 species